UGCGUAGGUGGGUUGGUAAGUCAGUGGUGAAAUCUCCGAGCUUAACUCGGAAACUGCCAUUGAUACUAUCAAUCUUGAAUCAUCUGGAGGUAAGCGGAAUAUGUCAUGUAGCGGUGAAAUGCUUAGAUAUGACAUAGAACACCAAUUGCGAAGGCAGCUUACUACGGGUGUAUUGACACUGAGGCACGAAAGCGUGGGGAUCAAACAGGAUUAGAUACCCUGGUAGUCCACGCCCUAAACGAUGGAUACUCGACAUCAGCGAUACACUGUUGGUGUCUGAGCGAAAGCAUUAAGUAUCCCACCUGGGAAGUACGACCGCAAGGUUGAA
rnacentral:rRNA from 1 species